AUUGAACGCUGGCGGCAGGCCUAACACAUGCAAGUCGAGCGGAAAAAGGGCGCUAGCUCCUGACGUGUGGGGCAGGGGGGUGUAAUACGCCUAAAAAUGUGCCUGGUAGGGGGGGAAAACGUCCGGAAAGGGGCGCUAAUACCGCACGCGCCCUGAGGGAGAGCGGGGGGGAGUAUGGGACCUCGCGCUAUGAGAUGAGCCUAUGUCGGAUUAGAUAGUUGGUGGGGUAAAGGCAUACCAAGACCACGAUCCGUAGCUGGUCUGAGAGGAUGAACAGCCACACUGGGACUGAGACACGGCCCAGACUCCUACGGGAGGCAGCAGUGGGGAAUAUUGGACAAUGGGCGAAAGCCUGAUCCAGCAAUGCCGCGUGUGUGAAGAAGGUCUUCGGAUUGUAAAGUGCUUUAAGUUGGGACGAAACGCAGUUAGUUAAUACCUGGCUGUAAUGACGGUACCGAAAGAAUAAGCACCGGCUAACUUCGUG
rnacentral:rRNA from 1 species